CCGCCGCGGUAACACCGGCAGCUCUAGUGGUAGCUGUUUUAUUGGGCCUAAAGCGUUCGUAGCCGGUUUAAUAAGUCUCUGGUGAAAUCCUAUAGCUUAACUGUGGGAAUUGCUGGAGAUACUAUUAGACUUGAGAUCGGGAGAGGUCAGAGGUACUCCUGGGGUAGGGGUGAAAUCCUGUAAUCCUAGGAGGACCACCUGUGGCGAAGGCGUCUGACUAGAACGAAUCUGACGGUGAGGAACGAAAGCUAGGGGCGCGAACCGGAUUAGAUACCCGGGUAGUCCUAGCCGUAAACUAUGCGGACUUGGUGUGAGGGUGGCUUUGAGCCGUCCUGGUGCCGAAGGGAAGCUGUUAAGUCCGCCGCCUGGGAAGUACGGUCGCAAGACUGAACUUAAAGGAAUUGGCGGGGGAGCACCACAACGCGUGGAGCCUGCGGUUUAAUUGGAUUCAACGCCGGAGAUCUCACCAGCGGCGACAGCAGUAUGAUGACCAGGUUGAUGACUUUGUUUGACAAGCUGAGAAGUGGUGCAUGG
rnacentral:rRNA from 1 species